rnacentral:tRNA from 3 species
GCGGGGGUAAUUCAGCGGUAGAAUGCCAGCUUCCCAAGCUGGACGUCGCGGGUUCGAUCCCCGUCCCCCGCUCCA